GUAAAUGUUUCUAGUAUUGAUUGCAUUUGUUAGUUGUAAAAUGCAGUGAUAGACAUUCAUAUACAUCAAAAUAGAUGGUUUCUCCUGAAAGAAUCUGUAUAGUUGUCAGAUUUUCUGUGUAAUGGCUCCAUACAUA